rnacentral:rRNA from 1 species
UACAGAGGUCUCAAGCGUUGUUCGGAUUCAUUGGGCGUAAAGGGUGCGUAGGUGGCGCGCUAAGUCAGGUGUGAAAUUUCGGAGCUUAACUCCGAAACUGCAUUUGAUACUGGCGUGCUUGAGGACUGGAGAGGAGACUGGAAUUCCUGGUGUAGCAGUGAAAUGCGUAGAUAUCAGGAGGAACACCGAUGGCGAAGGCAGGUCUCUGGGCUGACACUGACGCUCAUGCACGAAAGCGUGGGGAGCAAACAGG